rnacentral:rRNA from 1 species
UUGGAGGGCAAGUCUGGUGCCAGCAGCCGCGGUAAUUCCAGCUCCAAUAGCGUAUAUUAAAGUUGUUGCAGUUAAAAAGCUCGUAGUUGAAUUUCGGGAUCAGAUUGUCGGUCGUGCCUCGGUACGCACUGGCAUUAUUGGUUCCUACCUUCUGAAGAACCGCGAUGUCAUUAAUUUGGUGUCGUGGGGAAUCAGGACUGUUACUUUGAAAAAAUUAGAGUGUUUAAAGCAGGCGCACGCUUGAAUACAUUAGCAUGGAAUAAUGAAAUAGGACGUUUGAUUCUAUUUUGUUGGUUUCUAGGAUCGACGUAAUGAUUAAUAGGGAUAGUUGGGGGCAUUAGUAUUCAAUUGUCAGAGGUGAAAUUCUUGGAUUUAUUGAAGACUAACUACUGCGAAAGCAUUUGCCAAGGAUGUUUUCAUUAAUCAAGAACGAAAGUUAGGGGAUCGAAGACGAUCAGAUACCGUCGUAGUCUUAACCAUAAACUAUGCCGACUAGGGAUCGGAUGAUGUUAAUUUUAUAACGACUCAUUCGGCGCCUUACGGGAAACCAAAGUGUUUGGGUUC